rnacentral:SRP_RNA from 1 species
GGGAGACUGGCGCGGACGGGUGCCUCGCCAACCCGGUCAGGUCCGGAAGGAAGCAGCCGUAACGAGUUUUUCCCGGGUCGCUGUCCAGUCUUCCACU